rnacentral:lncRNA from 1 species
CAGAGCUUUUCCUUCCCUCUGGAAUUGAGGAGCAAGGGCUACUCCUGAAACUCCAAAAAAAUCUCCCUGGAAAAUUCAUCCCAAGGCCACAAAAUUCAGGAGAGCCCCUUCCAAUUUAGGAAUUGGAAUUUAGGAAUUCCAUGAGCAGAUUCCUGAUUUUUCACAAUAUCCCGCAUGGAUUCUGUGAGCUGGGAAUCUGCAUUUCCCUGUAAUUCCAAAAAAAAAAAACACAUUUUGAGCCUUAAAAAUACCAGAAUUCGAUAAAGCUCAGGGGCAGGAAUAGGAAAAAAUUCGCUCCUGAAAGAAUAAUUAAUGAUUAAAAAAAAUUAAUUAUAAACAAUUAUAAACCAGCUUAAAGCAAGUCCAUGACACCCUGCUUUUAUUACUGACUUUGCAAGACAAAGUUGAUUUUAUUUUUUAAAGUUUUGUAAACCAUUUUUAAAAAUCUAUAUAUUUAAAUUUCUAUACAUUUUUGAUCAUUUCUGUAUUACAGGCUCAUUUCUCUGUAAUUCCCAAAAAAGCCCAUUUUGAGCCUUAAAAAUACCAGAAUUUGAUAAAGCUCAGGGGAAGGAAUAGGAAAAAAUUCACUCCUGAAAGAAUAAUGAUUUUUAAAAAAUUAAUUAUAAACCAGUUUAAAGCAAGUCCAUGACACCCUGCUUUUAUCACUGACUUCGCCAGACAAAGUUCUUUUUAAAAAGUGAUGUAAACCAUUUUUUUAAAUCUAUAUAUUUAAAUUUCUAUACAUUUUUGAUCAUUCUAUAUUACAGGCUCACUGACUUGCAAACCAUCCCUUUUUCCUGGCAAAAUCAGUGGGGUUUGGAAUCUUUUCCAGCCUUUCCAGCUUUUCCAGCUUUUCCAGCUUUUCCAGCCUAAGAGGAAUUUCCCCGGGAUUGGCGCAGGAUUCCGGGAUCGCGUCCCUGCGGCUCCUUCAGCAAACGGGACACGCGGGAAUUCUCCUGUCGGGAUUAUCCCAAAACCAGGCGGGAAUUCGGGACUCCGGGGCGGCUCCGCCGGGCCAGCGUGGCGGUGGCGCUGUCACCGUCCCUGUCACUGUCACCGUCCCUGUCACUCUCGUCGUCACCAUCGCUGUCUUGUCCCUCUCCUGUCCCUGUCACUGUCCCAUCACUGUCGCGGUCUCUGUCACUGUCCCGUCCCUGUACUGUCCUUGUCCUGUCACGAUCCCUGUCACUGCCCCGUCUCUGUCGCGAUCCCUGUCCCGUCGCGGUCGCUGUCACUGUCCCGUCUCUGUCCUGUC